rnacentral:rRNA from 1 species
CCCUUAGAUGUUCUGGGCCGCACGCGCGCUACACUGAUGCAGGCAACGAGUUUACAACCUUGAUUGAAAAGUCUGGGUAAUCUUUUAAACUGUAUCGUGCUGGGGAUAGAUUCUUGCAAUUUUGGAUCUUAAACGAGGAAUUCCUAGUAAGCGCAUGUCAUCAGCAUGCACUGAUUACGUCCCUGCCCCUUGUACACACCGCCCGUCGCUUCAACCGAUUGGAUGGUCCGGUGAGGCCUCGAGAUUGAUGCCUUGUCUCUGGCAACAGAGCUUGUCGUCGAGAACUUGUCCUAACCUUAUCAUCUAGAGGAUGGAGAAGUCGUAACA